rnacentral:rRNA from 1 species
UACGAAGGGGGCUAGCGUUGUUCGGAAUCACUGGGCGUAAAGGGCGCGUAGGCGGACGAUUAAGUCAGGGGUGAAAUCCCGGGGCUCAACCCCGGAAUUGCCCUUGAUACUGGUUGUCUUGAGAUCGGAAGAGGUAAGUGGAAUUGCGAGUGUAGAGGUGAAAUUCGUAGAUAUUCGCAAGAACACCGGUGGCGAAGGCGACUUACUGGUCCGUAUCUGACGCUGAGGCGCGAAAGCGUGGGGAGCAAACAGG